UACGUAGGGGGCAAGCGUUGUUCGGAAUUAUUGGGCGUAAAGGGUGCGUAGGCGGUUUGGUAAGUCUUGUGUGAAAUCUCUGGGCUCAACUCAGAGUCUGCACGAGAAACUGCCGGGCUUGAGUGUGGGAGAGGUGAGUGGAAUUCCUGGUGUAGCGGUGAAAUGCGUAGAUAUCAGGAGGAACACCUGUGGCGAAAGCGGCUCACUGGACCAUAACUGACGCUGAUGCACGAAAGCUAGGGGAGCAAACAGG
rnacentral:rRNA from 1 species